UUUUUUUCAUUUUCACUUUUCUAAGAUGAUGACGUUCCGAUGAAAAAAAGUUUUGUUAACAUCUUUGUGUCCUUUUGAUCAGAUUCAUGGCAGCAGUUCGUGUUCUGCGGUGAAGCUGUUGUAAUGGGAUAUCUUCUUCACUUCGCCACAUUCUUCCCGCUAGAGAGAACAUUGUUUAUUCACCAUUACCUUCCCGCGCUGUUCUUUAAAAUUGUUCUUUUACCAGUGAUGUUAGAGCAUGUUCAUCAAGAAAUCUUUAGAUACAAAGUGCUUCGUCAGAUAUUGUACGGGUGUUGUGCGUUCUUGGUUGUAAUUGUGCUGUGGGGAUUUCAUUUCUACAGUCCUUUCACGUACGGUCACGUGGCUCUCUCCUCUGCUGAGAUCAAUCGACGGAAGUGGCUCAAAACAUGGGACAUGCUCUCUCACCCCAACACGUGACACACUUCACUUUCUGAGCCCUAAUCUUCGCUCCUCCAGACUUCUUUCCUUGCGGAGAAACCAAAAGGACCUGAAAAUCAGACAAGAACGUUCUCCACUCCUGAAACUUUUGCAGGACUGGACACAAGUAAAGUGCUGCGCAAGGAUGUCUGGGAUUGUUUGGGUGUGCAAACAGGUGGCCUCUGGGGCUGUAUUGGUUGGAUCUUGUUUUCAACUUCGCGAAGGGAAAAAAACUUUGAAAACAAGCUUACAUACGAGUAAUUUUGCCCGCAACAUUUUGACCUUUAACGCGUCUACCAAACAAUGCCAGAAACAGCGCCAUCGAUUUUCUGGAGGAGAAAAACACUUGUGUGAUAAUGCUCGGUUUUUAUAGACAGAUAUUUUAAUAAUUUUACACGCACUAAGCAAGUUAUUUACAGUAAGGAAGCGACUACUACAGACUUCACUUUGUUAUUUAAUAACCUAUCAGAAAAUUGCAGCAACACUUGUAAGCACUGUUUCUAAAGAUGGCUCUUUUGCUUAUCAUAAUAAGAACACGUCCUGUUACUUAGCGACCACUUGCAUGAAGACCUUCAGCUGUCACGUUAACUGUGGUGUGUCACGCAACGCUACUCGUGGUGAGAAGCAUUGCGAGACCUCCGAAAUAUUGGCUACGAGGACGAGGUGAUUAACAACCAAUUAAGAACUAGUUUUAGGGCAAAACGUUUUAUUCGCUUUUCUUUCCCCUUUGCUUUUUUAACUUUUCUGUAAUCCUCUACUCGAAACAUUUAGAGGCAUUCGCCCUACAAAGUCAGUAGCACACCGUCACCACACUCGGUUCCUAGUCGCCAUCUUCAUUGCAUUACAGGUUUUUCUUUCUUUCUUUCAUGACAUGACAGAUUGCUCUAGUAAAACAGUUCAAUCUAGCGUUGUAAAGUAAAAAAAGAUAGUUCAAAACAGAUUAGUCAGCUGGUUUGACGCUCAAAAAAAAACAAAUUUCAGCUUUGAGGCACAUUUAAUAUGUCGUCUUUUAAACAAGUCUAUAUUGAUUUCCACGUUGUUUUAUAUCUUUUUCCUAUUUUUGAUUUCACUUAAUUUUGUCACUGGGUUGUGGAGCCAAUAGGAAAACUCCGAAGCGUUUAAUGUAAUUCAGUGGCAUAUUGGAUAAUCGCCGAUCGACGGCAUCACCGGGGCAUAGAAAAUAUUUCGCUGUAUAACUAUAGUUGGACAGGUAAUGGGGUGUGGUGUAACAACAAACAAUGUUAAAAUCUUACUUGAGCGAUUUUCUUUUGGGAGUUUGAACUGGCAUGCGAGAUUUCACAGAAUAGCAGAUAAUUUUGCAGUUAUUUUUCGUAAAAAUUAAAUUCAAACAAAAUCACGUAAAGAAGAUUGUAAAAAUUUUGUCUUGUCCGUUGAGGUAUUUAUUAGUACUUUACUAAUAAUAAAUUAUAUUUUUUUUCCGAUGCAGGUUUUAAUUACUAGGUAUUUCGUUGAACUGGCUGGUCUGUUUUGUGUGUGUCUAGAUUGUGAAUGAUCAACCGCACAGACGAAUCAAUAAAACUUUAUUGUCUCAAAAUAAGA
rnacentral:lncRNA from 1 species